CCUGCAGCCACCCCCGGCUGGAACGCGGCGAGAGGAAGGCCGGCGCUGGGCGCGCCUUGCUACCCUGGCCGUUGCUCACACGAGGAGGCUUCCCUCCCACAUGCCCGGGCUCUAGGAGCUGUCUGACAGCAGGACAGGGACGGGCAGCACUGACGUUUUGUUUUCACGGACAAAGACGUUUCUUCAGACAUCCCAAAUACCUCUAAGACACCUCCUCCCAGCAACCCGGAGCUUUCCUCACCAGCAGUUGCUUGCGUUGCUGCAGUGCAUGGCACGGAAAGGCUGCAGCCGGAGGGCAGCCGCUCCUGCAGCACACUCUCCCCCCUUCCAGGAUACUGCUUUGCAGCUGACAUUAAAACUUCUCCCUGCUGAUCAGAAACUGAUAUUUGAUACAGAUGUUUGAGAAGAAACGGUCCUUAAAUAGUGAAGGUUGCACAAGUGAGGAAAGUUUUAAAGUGUGAAAGUUGCUGUUCAUUUCUGAAAAUGCAUUUGCUUGUUUGUACACACUGGGAGUACUUCUGCUCAUUUACAAAAAACAGAAGUCCAGAAAAAUCGGUACAAAUUAAUAUCUGAGCACACGACCAUAUAAAACAGUGUGAUAUCCUUCCUUGGGCAUUUCUUCUUUCAGAUCUUAAAAUAACAGUACUAUACGCUCAUUUUACAGUGUCAACAGCAGCA